UUUGUACGCUUUUCAUCUCUCUCUCUCUCUCUCUAAGUUUUAUUUUUACAUGUCAUGGGGUUUAAGCGAUUACAGCUGUUGCAGGAUGGAAGUGAGAUUUUUCAAGUUUUGGAAGAGAGAGAGGAAGGGUUUGGAAUCUGGGUUUUCUCAGAAAUAAGAUGGACUGAGCAAGCCUAAAUUAAUUAGGCGGGUUGCUAUCUGAACUGUUCGGAAAAACCAAACGGCCCUAACGAUGAGGCUAUCUGAGAGAGAGGAAGAUGCUCCAGUUUGUUUUUGAUGGUCAGAUAUUUGGGGAAAUGAAUAUUCCGAGGGGUGGCCUUGUUAUUUGUGAUUUCAGGCAAGCAAUGCCUGCAGCCAUGGCAAAGGGUGCAUCCAAACGCAUGUCUGGAGAGAAGGUUAAAGUGGAUCGGAUCUUCCAAUCUGGAGUCCCCAUCCAUAAUGUCAGCCAUCAGAUGAAUGAUUUCGAUUGCUUAAACCAUGAUCCCUAUUGGGCCAAUGCGAAACAUUGGAACGGCUGAAAGAAACUUGGCCAAAUCUUACAAAUGGUACAACAGAGGAUUUGAUUCUUGCUUUCAUUGGUGUUGCCUCUGUUAGCAAAAGCUUCCUUUCUAACUCAGAUGGAGACAUUCCUGCUAAGCCAUCCCUCACUCUUCUCCUCUACAACCUUCUGCCAUUGACCAUAUGAUUGCAGGUAUGUACAUCCUCCAUGGAAUCUACAACCGAGCCAUUUCCUCAUCUCCGAUCUCUACACAUUUGCAUUAGGAUUAAAAGACCAAUUUACGAUAGUCCACCCUCACCGGCAUGCAAAAAAUGCUGAUGUUGGUUCCAUGAGGCUUUUUGCCUUGAAUACUUGUACGAGUACUCCAUUUACAUGCAAGACGGAUAUAGGAGAGUAUUCCGAUCCAACGUUUGCCAUUUACUGUUACCUUAGUGGAUCCCUUGCGGCAUGUUCAUCUUUGAGAUGCACAUACCCUCCUCGCACUUCAUUCUUUCUCAACUAUGAUUUGUAGCUUCUUCUGGGGAUCCAUUCCUUUCUACUUGUAUAGUAUCCCUCGGCCUGUUUCUUAUGAUUGCUCAAUGGUCUUAUGAUACUUGAGCGAAUGGAGUUAAAGAAGUAAGACAGGAAAGAUGGCAUAGACCUCCAAACAUUACAGUUAGCUGACACACCUCUCAGUGGUCUGCAUGCAGGUUAGGGGGAAGGACUGUUGCUGUGAAGGCCAUUUUUUUUCCUAUAGGAUUAUGUCUAAGUAUGGGUUUUUCUAUCUCCUUAUCUGAAUAAGUUUACCCUGUUCAUUCUCCUCACAUGGUGUAUGGUUGAAUGGAAACCCUACCUGCAUAGGACAUUCAGGUGCCAAAUCUACCAGCUGGACUCUCUAACUAUCUUGCAAAGCGGCAAUCUGACCCAGCAGUCACAAUCAAGGUUUCAUGGCACCAUACUGAGGAGUGCAUUACCAUCUCCAAGAAUAUCGUAUGAGAUCGAAAUCUACAAAACAAGGGAGUUGUCGAGUUACUGUCAUGCUUAGCUAAGAAAUGUGAUAGAACACUGCUUUGGAGUUCUAAAGGCUUGGUUCCUUAUACGCCAUAGUGUAUCCCAAUUUAAGUUUGAGACACAAGUGAAGAUUGUCAUUGCAUAUUAUGUACUCCACAAUUCCAUAUGGCUUGACGAAGAUGGUGAUUUCGAUGAGCUCGCCUCGGAGCACGGAGAUGUCAAGCAGGAUGUAAUCCUUCACUUGUUGAGGUAAAUCAAGUUGACGAGGGUCACAUGAUCCUCGAAGUUACACAAGCAGCAAUGGACUCUUAAUCGAGGAAGAGAGAUAAAAUAGUAGAGAGAAUGUAGGAGAAGAGUGGCAUGAUCUGAAGGAUUUUUAGUUAUUGGUUUGUAAUAUUGGUAAGGUACUAACGACAUUCAUACUUGUGUAAGGUGUUUGAACUUUAUAUGGAUAUUUUAUUUGACUUUUUA